GCCGCUUUAGCUCAGUUGGUAGAGCACCGCAUUCGUAAUGCGGGGGUCGCGUGUUCGAGUCACGCAAGCGGCACCA
rnacentral:tRNA from 115 species